UUAAGCGACUAAGCGUACACGGUGGAUGCCCUGGCAGUCAGAGGCGAUGAAGGACGUGCUAAUCUGCGAAAAGCGUCGGUAAGGUGAUAUGAACCGUUAUAACCGGCGAUGUCCGAAUGGGGAAACCCAGUGUGAUUCGUCACACUAUCGUUAACUGAAUACAUAGGUUAACGAGGCGAACCGGGGGAACUGAAACAUCUAAGUACCCCGAGGAAAAGAAAUCAACCGAGAUUCCCCCAGUAGCGGCGAGCGAACGGGGAGCAGCCCAGAGUCUGAAUCAGCUUGUGUGUUAGUGGAACGGUCUGGAAAGUCCGACGGUACAGGGUGAUAGUCCCGUACACCAAAAUGCACAGGCUGUGAACUCGAAGAGUAGGGCGGGACACGUGGUAUCCUGUCUGAAUAUGGGGGGACCAUCCUCCAAGGCUAAAUACUCCUGACUGACCGAUAGUGAACCAGUACCGUGAGGGAAAGGCGAAAAGAACCCCGGCGAGGGGAGUGAAAAAGAACCUGAAACCGUGUACGUACAAGCAGUGGGAGCACCUUCGGGUGUGACUGCGUACCUUUUGUAUAAUGGGUCAGCGACUUAUAUUCUGUAGCAAGGUUAACCGUAUAGGGGAGCCGCAGGGAAACCGAGUCUUAACUGGGCGUUAAGUUGCAGGGUAUAGACCCGAAACCCGGUGAUCUAGCCAUGGGCAGGUUGAAGGUUGGGUAACACUAACUGGAGGACCGAACCGACUAAUGUUGAAAAAUUAGCGGAUGACUUGUGGCUGGGGGUGAAAGGCCAAUCAAACCGGGAGAUAGCUGGUUCUCCCCGAAAGCUAUUUAGGUAGCGCCUCGUGAACUCAUCUUCGGGGGUAGAGCACUGUUUCGGCUAGGGGGUCAUCCCGACUUACCAACCCGAUGCAAACUACGAAUACCGAAGAAUGUUAUCACGGGAGACACACGGCGGGUGCUAACGUCCGUCGUGAAGAGGGAAACAACCCAGACCGCCAGCUAAGGUCCCAAAGUCAUGGUUAAGUGGGAAACGAUGUGGGAAGGCACAGACAGCCAGGAUGUUGGCUUAGAAGCAGCCAUCAUUUAAAGAAAGCGUAAUAGCUCACUGGUCGAGUCGGCCUGCGCGGAAGAUGUAACGGGGCUAAACCAUGCACCGAAGCUGCGGCAGCGACACUAUGUGUUGUUGGGUAGGGGAGCGUUCUGUAAGCCUGCGAAGGUGACCUGUGAGGGUUGCUGGAGGUAUCAGAAGUGCGAAUGCUGACAUAAGUAACGAUAAAGCGGGUGAAAAGCCCGCUCGCCGGAAGACCAAGGGUUCCUGUCCAACGUUAAUCGGGGCAGGGUGAGUCGACCCCUAAGGCGAGGCCGAAAGGCGUAGUCGAUGGGAAACAGGUUAAUAUUCCUGUACUUGGUGUUACUGCGAAGGGGGGACGGAGAAGGCUAUGUUAGCCGGGCGACGGUUGUCCCGGUUUAAGCAUGUAGGCUGGUUAUCCAGGCAAAUCCGGAUAAUCAAGGCUGAGGUGUGAUGACGAGGCACUACGGUGCUGAAGUAACAAAUGCCCUGCUUCCAGGAAAAGCCUCUAAGCAUCAGGUAACAUCAAAUCGUACCCCAAACCGACACAGGUGGUCAGGUAGAGAAUACCAAGGCGCUUGAGAGAACUCGGGUGAAGGAACUAGGCAAAAUGGUGCCGUAACUUCGGGAGAAGGCACGCUGGUGUGUAGGUGAAGUCCCUGCGGAUGGAGCUGAGACCAGUCGAAGAUACCAGCUGGCUGCAACUGUUUAUUAAAAACACAGCACUGUGCAAACACGAAAGUGGACGUAUACGGUGUGACGCCUGCCCGGUGCCGGAAGGUUAAUUGAUGGGGUUAUCCGUAAGGAGAAGCUCUUGAUCGAAGCCCCGGUAAACGGCGGCCGUAACUAUAACGGUCCUAAGGUAGCGAAAUUCCUUGUCGGGUAAGUUCCGACCUGCACGAAUGGCGUAAUGAUGGCCAGGCUGUCUCCACCCGAGACUCAGUGAAAUUGAACUCGCUGUGAAGAUGCAGUGUACCCGCGGCAAGACGGAAAGACCCCGUGAACCUUUACUAUAGCUUGACACUGAACAUUGAGCCUUGAUGUGUAGGAUAGGUGGGAGGCUUUGAAGCGUGGACGCCAGUCUGCGUGGAGCCAACCUUGAAAUACCACCCUUUAAUGUUUGAUGUUCUAACGUUGGCCCCUUACCGGGGUUGCGGACAGUGUCUGGUGGGUAGUUUGACUGGGGCGGUCUCCUCCCAAAGCGUAACGGAGGAGCACGAAGGUUAGCUAAUCCUGGUCGGACAUCAGGAGGUUAGUGCAAUGGCAUAAGCUAGCUUGACUGCGAGCGUGACGGCGCGAGCAGGUGCGAAAGCAGGUCAUAGUGAUCCGGUGGUUCUGAAUGGAAGGGCCAUCGCUCAACGGAUAAAAGGUACUCCGGGGAUAACAGGCUGAUACCGCCCAAGAGUUCAUAUCGACGGCGGUGUUUGGCACCUCGAUGUCGGCUCAUCACAUCCUGGGGCUGAAGUAGGUCCCAAGGGUAUGGCUGUUCGCCAUUUAAAGUGGUACGCGAGCUGGGUUUAGAACGUCGUGAGACAGUUCGGUCCCUAUCUGCCGUGGGCGCUGGAGAAUUGAGGGGGGCUGCUCCUAGUACGAGAGGACCGGAGUGGACGCAUCACUGGUGUUCGGGUUGUCAUGCCAAUGGCACUGCCCGGUAGCUAAAUGCGGAAGAGAUAAGUGCUGAAAGCAUCUAAGCACGAAACUUGCCCCGAGAUGAGUUCUCCCUGAGACUUUAAGUCUCCUGAAGGAACGUUGAAGACGACGACGUUGAUAGGCCGGGUGUGUAAGCGCAGCGAUGCGUUGAGCUAACCGGUACUAAUGAACCGUGAGGCUUAACCUU
rnacentral:rRNA from 1 species